ncrna:Fusobacterium nucleatum subsp. vincentii ATCC 49256 6A RNA
UAAAACGUUCAUAUAGCAGUGAACAAGUUAAUCAAAAGAAAUGCUAUUUAAGA